GACGUAGGGUCCAAGCGUUGUCCGGAUUUACUGGGCGUAAAGAGCGCGUAGGCGGUCUAUUAAGUGAGAAGUGAAAUCUCUAGGGCUCAACCCAGAAACUGCUUUUCAUACUGAUAGACUUGAGGAAUGCAGAGGUCAGUGGAAUUCCUGGUGUAGCGGUGAAAUGCGUUGAUAUCGCUUGGAACGCCGAAGGUGAAACAGGCUGACUGGGGUUGCGCCGACGCUGAGACACGAAAGCCAGGGAGCAAACGGG
rnacentral:rRNA from 1 species